UGUCUCACAGUAACUGGAUUACAGAGAUCUGGAUUACAUUUGUCCUCCACAUGCUUAGCCUGGGUUUAUUAUUUGCUUAGUACAAACGGGGGGUUCAAGAGGGAAAUAGAAGAAACAAGAACCUGGGAGUCAGUUGUGAAUUUAAAGCUGCCGAUGGCACAGCACAGGAGCAGAUUCUGCUGCACACUGAUGCAUCUCACAGUCAGGAGGGUCAGUCACAGGAGGACAGUCAUGUAGAGAUCCUAGACAGCGAGAGAGGAGCAGUUUCACUUCAAUUCACACUCUGCAGCGGCUGUGACAGACAGGAUCAACCCUGGGAAGACCCGCCAUUCACAACUUCAGUUAAGUGAUUUAAAGCAGUUAAUGUGUGAAGGACCUUUAAAUAAAGGCCCCGUUUACACUAAUGCGUUUUAGUUUGAAAACGCAUAAGUUUUGCUACGGUUACGCCAA